GACGAACGCUGGCGGCGUGCUUAACACAUGCAAGUCGAACGGAAAGGCCCUGCUUUUGUGGGGUGCUCGAGUGGCGAACGGGUGAGUAACACGUGAGUAACCUGCCCUUGACUUUGGGAUAACUUCAGGAAACUGGGGCUAAUACCGGAUAGGAGCUCCUGCUGCAUGGUGGGGGUUGGAAAGUUUCGGCGGUUGGGGAUGGACUCGCGGCUUAUCAGCUUGUUGGUGGGGUAGUGGCUUACCAAGGCUUUGACGGGUAGCCGGCCUGAGAGGGUGACCGGCCACAGUGGGACUGAGAUACGGCCCGGACGCCUACGGGAGGCAGCAGUGGAGAAUAUUGCACAAUGGGCGGAAGCCUGAUGCAGCAACGCCGCGUGCGGGAUGACGGCCUUCGGGUAGUAAACCGCUUUCGCCUGUGACGAAGCGUGAGUGACGGUAAUGGGUAAAGAAGCACCGGCUAACUACGU
rnacentral:rRNA from 1 species